ensembl:lncRNA
AGGCAUUUGGAAUUUGUGCAUCAAAGUUUGUCAGACGUAACCGUUUCUGGGAUUUAACACAUUCUUUUACUUAUUUGUUUCAAAAAAGUCUUGCUGAACUCUACUGCUUGCCAGACACGUGUUCCAGGCACUGGAGAUAGAGCAGUAAACCCUCCUGGUGCUUCCCUUCUACGGGAGGGGACAGACAGCGGGCGACCACACACAGGGAGACACUGCACAAUUCCAGGCAGUGACAAGUGCAGAGAUAAACGUGCAGCAGGAGACACACUACAAAUGUGAGAAGGGGGACUUCUUCACAGGUGUCAGAAGAGGCUUCUCUCAGGAGUGGAUCUUUAAAAGGAAGCAGCACGGGGGCCAGCGGUAGAAGAGACCAGGUGUGGAGACAGGCGAGCUCACGGCCAGGUGUGGGGGAAACCCUUCAUGCAAGGGACUCGUCGGAGGGCCCAAAGGACAGGAAGCUGGAGUUCCCUGAACUUGCACAGAGCAGCCACAUGACUCCCCUGGGCCUGCUCACUGACGAAGACCAUUUCAGAAGUCAGCCUGCAACCUUCCACCCAGUGGAAAGGAUGGGAUGGGGAGGACCCACCUACCUCUGAUCACCAGAGGCUGCCUUUGUCAACUAAAAACACCAGCAACAAUAAAAACACACUCCAACCUUGUGAGCUGCCAAACUGGUUGAGCCAGUUCUCAAGAACUUAGCCCAGUGCCUGGCCUCCAGGAGGCACUGCAUUCAAUAACAGCGGGUGUUUUUAUUUUGCAGAUGAGGAAAUCUGAGGCUUAGAGAGGUAAAUAAACUUGCCAAACUUACCCGUCAGUGAGUGGCAGAACUGGGAAAAACUGGAUUGAUCCAGAAUGUUCAGACUUAUUUUACCCACUACACGGCCUGAGUGGAGACAUGGGCUGCUUUGUGGAGGCCCUGGAGUACCAGGCAAACCCACGAAGUUACUCUUAUACUGCAGAUAAUCUGGAGCCAUUGAUAGUUGGCUGAGAAGUAACAGGAGAUGUGAUAACUUAGGAAAACCCACCUGGCGGCACAGUGCAGGACACAGUUCGGUGAACAGAAGCUGGAGGCAUGGAGACCAACUAAGAUUGUAUUUAAAUAGGAAACUGGACUUGGAUAAGGGUGAUAGCAAGGGAAAAACUGAAUGACCGUGAGAGAGCUUGCACAGGAAGAAGUAGCAGAAGUUGGUAACCAGCCAUGGAAUAAGGAGACGUGCAAGAUGCUGCUGAGUUUCUCUCUGGUCACUGGAAGAUAACAGCCGCAUUGGGGAAGAGGAUGCUUGCUCCCAGGGUCUGAGAAUCAAAAGGCCAGGAGUCUACUGCUCAGCUAAGCUACUUACUACUUGGGUCACCCAAGCUUGAAGACUCCUAGGAAGGUCUUUUUCAUAAGGCUAACCCAACAAGGGAAAGAAGAGGAUGAGAUACUGGGAAGAUGAGGUGGGGGGCUGUAAGGAAAAAGGUGUGUGUGUGAGUGUGAGUGUGUGUAUGAAUAUGUGGUGGGUAUGAUGCAGGGUCGGUGAGCCGAGGAGUCGAAAGAAAGAUUUCUUAGACUCUCAAGAUCUGGCAGUAGUGCUCUUUUAUUUAGAGAAUAGUGUGGAAUAGCAUGGGGACAGGACCCAUGGGCAGUCAGAGCUUCUGCUGCCGCCGCUUCUGCUGCCCCCGCUGGCAUGGGGACAGGGCCCAUGGGCAGGCAGAACAGCUGCUGCUGCCCCCGCUGGCAUGGGGACAGGACCCAUGGGCAGGCAGAGCUGGUGCGUGGGGACAGGACCCACGGGCGGUCAGAGCUCCUGCUGCUGCCCUGAGUUGAGGGUUAGGGCUAAUUUUAUAAGGCAUGGAUACGUGACUUAUUUUUACUGGAGAAAAGAAAAGAAGAUGUAAAAAGUCAUUAAAUGAUUUCAGUGCAGAUGGGGUCUGGUUAUUGUGCGGUCAUAUAACUUUAGAUACGAAUCUGGCCAUAUAGAUCGGCAUGUAGGUGAGGAUACCCUGGGCUUCUCUCUCUGGGACGGUCCUAAUUCAUACCAUAAAAAAGUCCACUGGGUCGUAUAGUUUGGCAUGUAGGCCAGGUCACCUUGGGCUUCUGUAGCUGGGGCAGCCUUAAUCCACAUCAGGUAGAGGUAUGUGAGUGUGUGUCUGUGUGAGUGUGUGCACAUGAGUUUGUGUGUGUACGUGUGCGAGUGUGUAUGCUGGCAGGGUGUCUGAAUGGGAGACUUACUUGCACAGCAGGUGCACAGCUGCAUCCAGAGGUGAAUAUCGCGCGCCAUCCUUUCAGUUCUUUGGUAGAUGAACUUCCAAGAAAGGCAUCCUGCAGCUGGGCCCCUCCACCCCGAAAACGAGAAAAAUAAAAUCCUGGCGUCCGCCUGCUGUGGUAGGGAUUUACCUUGUAAGCAGCCACGCCCGCUGCCCCAGUCUUUAAAGGUUUGAGGCGGCCCAGGACACGGGGCUCGGCUUCGCCCCGACCCCUGGUGUCCUCUCGGGGCCAGCAGAGAGGUGGGCGGAUGUGCUCCAUUUCAGAAGACGAGAAACUGGCUGUCAAGUGGGGCACAAGAGUCCUCCAUACAGACAAGAAAAGUUUAGAUGUCAUUUUGAAAGGAUACAAACGCGAAGCACUGUGUCUCAAGAGCUUGGCUUUACGGUAGGGGAGGGUUCUUUUUUUUUUUUUUUCUAAAUACAAGGAGCUCUUUGGUUGAGAGGAGAUGGGUUACUUAGCGUUAACCCAUUGAACUGUCAUUUCCUGAAAACUCCUACGGCUUUCUGCUUUUUGGUUAGAGAGAUGCAGCUUACUGAUCUCAGGAGGAA